GGCUCCAUUCCUGCAUGGGAAUUAAGAAAUCUUUUUUGCAGUAACCGCUGCUGCGAUAUUUAUGAUCCGGCAGGCGUGCCCCCGUGAUGGCCAGUGGUGUGCGCCAGCUGCCCUGCCCGUAUUGCCCGAUGCGGUUCAAGCGCCGGUGGAACCUCAACAUGCACGUGCACACACACACGGGCGAGCGCCCUUACCAGUGCUGCUACUGCUUCCGGGCCUUCGCCGACCGGUCCAACAUGCGCAAGCACAUACUCAUCCACACAUGCAAGCAACCCAUGGCUUGACAUUGCCCGUGCAGCUUGGGCUUUGCUGGCCCACUUGCCGUUGGGUCAUGUCUGAAAUGUGACUCCAUUGUCCAUAGACUGGAAACGUUGGAAUGCAAGGGCAGUGCUGUGUCAGCAAUGCACAGACAUUUUGUUUUUAUCAAACGCUUUCCAACUUUGCUACAUGGUGUCAAAUUGUUUGUGAAGGUGUUUGCAUUGUUUUUUCUAAUAAAAAAUUAAAAUGCUGA
rnacentral:lncRNA from 1 species